GAUGAACGCUCGCGGGAGGCCUAACACAUGCAAGCCGAGCGGUAUGGGUAGCUUGCUACCCAGAGAGCGGCGUACGGGUGCGUAACACGUGUGCAACCUGCCCCUAUCCGGGGGAUAGCCCUCCGAAAGGAGGAUUAAUACCCCAUAAUAUAUCUGGUGGCAUCACUAGAUAUUGAAAACCCCGGUGGAUAGGGAUGGGCACGCGCAAGAUUAGAUAGUUGGCGGGGUAACGGCCCACCAAGUCGAUGAUCUUUAGGGGUCCUGAGAGGGAGAUCCCCCACACUGGUACUGAGACACGGACCAGACUCCUACGGGAGGCAGCAGUGAGGAAUAUUGGACAAUGGGUGGAAGCCUGAUCCAGCCAUCCCGCGUGAGGGACGACGGCCCUAUGGGUUGUAAACCUCUUUUGUACGGGGAUAAACCUAUCUACGUGUAGAUAGCUGAAGGUACCGUACGAAUAAGCACCGGCUAACUCAGUG
rnacentral:rRNA from 1 species